rnacentral:lncRNA from 1 species
AAAAAACCUACAUAGUGUCGGAUCAGUAUCAAAAAGCCAAGAGUUGAUAUGAGAACCUUGCUCAAGUGUUUUUGGUUUUUUUAUGUUUCUUGUGGUCGGCUUCGAAAAUUUUGCCCGCUGUGAAAGGGGAGUCUGGAUGAAGGAGAUUGUAAUCUGUGACUCUGAUUUCAAAGUCUUGUUUUUUUCCUACAAUCUUUUGUAGAACUUCCUUUAGUAAGAUAUCUCCAUUUUCCUAAGUAUAUUCAAGACAAAAUAGUGUUAGUAUUGGUAAAGGGAGUAAAAUGUUGUAGUAAAAGGUUUACCUAGUUGAAGGGAGAACAGGGGAAAAGAGAGUAGGAAAAGAGGACCUGAAGACUCAAAGUUAGCAGAGGCUCAAAUUUUAGGCCCAAAAGAAAUUCAGCCUGUUCUUCGAAUGCCGUUAUGUUUUUUGUGCUUGUUGAGUCUUCAAUUUCAAAAUUUAUUCUUAAC